UAAAAGUGGGGCCAAGUUGAAGGUGA
rnacentral:piRNA from 1 species